rnacentral:lncRNA from 1 species
UUUUUCUCAAAUGUGUCAACCCUUUGAUUCUCUUCUUCAUUUUCCGCCUCUGUUUCUUCCUCUUCAUCAUCGUCAUGUUCUUCCUCCACCAUGCGUUUGCGUUUUGAACGUGCCGCCUCUUCCGUCUCUUCUUCCUCUUUCUCUUCCUCUUCCUCCUCUUCUUCAUAUUCCUCAUCCUCUUUUUCUUUUUCAUCUACCACGUAAUCCUCAACACUAUCAUCAUCAGAAGAAGAACUACUGCUGUUAUCACUAGCCAAAUUCUUCCCUUUUGGCUCUACACUAUUAUUAUGUUCAUUUAUUUCUUCCUCCUCCUCCACGGUCAAUUUUAAACCUCCAGCUUCUUUCUUUUCACAUCCAUUCUUUCCAAGUAAUUUUGUGUAGAAUGUUCUGUUUCCAUCAAAAUCAAAUACCAGAAAAUCUCCCAACUCUAAACUGUUGUCUUCAAUGAAUUUCUCCCAUUUAUAUUCAAAAUAAAAAUCUCGUCCUGUUUUAGUCACUCCCAUAGGCCACAUAUUGUCAAACCGAUCCCUAAGGAAAACUUUCCUAGGCAACUUUCCAUUCUUGGAAUUGGUAAAACUUGUGAGGAUUUUCUGUGAAAAAGAAAAAGAAGCUACAACAACAACAAUAACAAACCCAGUGUAUUCCCACCUAGUAGGGUCCGGGGAGGGUAGAAUGUACUCAAUUCAUACCACUACCUCCGAAGAAGUAGAGAGGUUGUUUCCGAUAGACCCUCGGCUCAGUACCAAAAAGGCAGUAAACAAAGUGCUUAUGAUGUGUUUAACGCGUUCAUAGGAGUCACUUAAGGUAAUGCAAGCUAAGAGCUUUUGAAUCCAUCAAGUUUUAGUAUUUUAUUUUGCAAGGGUCAUCUUUAAAUGAGCGUAACUUGAUGUUAUGUGGUAUUUUGUCAUAUUUAGACCCACCAAAUUUUAGAGAAUCGAAUUAGCCUUCCAACGAUACCAAUUUCGCCUUAAUCCAAUACCCGAGCGAAAAGUUAUGCCCAUUUUCGUAAGAGACAGUAAGGACUUUGACACAGAGAGAAGUUUCUGGCUCAUUUUGCCAGCAAACAAAACGACCAUACUUUUUUAAAACUCUUUAGAACUGUAGUCUUAAACAUUUCAUGACAUUUAUAUGACAAUAAGAUCAAGUCAAAAUAUACAUAGAUGUCAUUUUUAUAGUACUCCCUCCGUUUAAAAAAGAAUGGCUUACUUUGACUUGGCACAAAGUUUAUCUUGUGGCCUUAAAUUAAAGUUGUACCAAAUGUACCAAAAUAUGCUUUAAUCUUGUGGUCCUAAACAUGUCAUGUGGAAAAUUGAAAUUAAAGUAUUGCCAAAAAAGGAAAGGGGUCAUUCUUUUUUAAAUGAACUAAAAAGGAAAGCAGGUCAUUCUUUUUUAAACGGAGGAAGUAACAUAUUAACAAGAAAACAAUUGAAUUGCAUAUAAAAUGAAACAGAGUUGAUAUAAAAAUCUUUAAUUUGUGUUUACCUUUUGAACGUGAUACCUUUUUCUCAAAUGUGUCAACCCUUUGAUUCUCUUCUUCAUUUUCCGCCUCUGUUUCUUCCUCUUCAUCAUCGUCAUGUUCUUCCUCCACCAUGCGUUUGCGUUUUGAACGUGCCGCCUCUUCCGUCUCUUCUUCCUCUUUCUCUUCCUCUUCCUCCUCUUCUUCAUAUUCCUCAUCCUCUUUUUCUUUUUCAUCUACCACGUAAUCCUCAACACUAUCAUCAUCAGAAGAAGAACUACUGCUGUUAUCACUAGCCAAAUUCUUCCCUUUUGGCUCUACACUAUUAUUAUGUUCAUUUAUUUCUUCCUCCUCCUCCACGGUCAAUUUUAAACCUCCAGCUUCUUUCUUUUCACAUCCAUUCUUUCCAAGUAAUUUUGUGUAGAAUGUUCUGUUUCCAUCAAAAUCAAAUACCAGAAAAUCUCCCAACUCUAAACUGUUGUCUUCAAUGAAUUUCUCCCAUUUAUAUUCAAAAUAAAAAUCUCGUCCUGUUUUAGUCACUCCCAUAGGCCACAUAUUGUCAAACCGAUCCCUAAGGAAAACUUUCCUAGGCAACUUUCCAUUCUUGGAAUUGGUAAAACUUGUGAGGAUUUUCUGUGAAAAAGAAAAAGAAGCUACAACAACAACAAUAACAAACCCAGUGUAUUCCCACCUAGUAGGGUCCGGGGAGGGUAGAAUGUACUCAAUUCAUACCACUACCUCCGAAGAAGUAGAGAGGUUGUUUCCGAUAGACCCUCGGCUCAGUACCAAAAAGGCAGUAAACAAAGUGCUUAUGAUGUGUUUAACGCGUUCAUAGGAGUCACUUAAGGUAAUGCAAGCUAAGAGCUUUUGAAUCCAUCAAGUUUUAGUAUUUUAUUUUGCAAGGGUCAUCUUUAAAUGAGCGUAACUUGAUGUUAUGUGGUAUUUUGUCAUAUUUAGACCCACCAAAUUUUAGAGAAUCGAAUUAGCCUUCCAA